CCUUCGCAUCUGAUAUGUGCUACGCUGUCUCUGUAGCACACUAGCUUCUGGGACAAAGCUACAUAGGAAAUCAGACCAAAUGAGUGGCCGGACGGAUAGCGGCAGAAGCGGAAAAAGAAAAGGCCGGAAACAUCAAGACAGAAGGAGCUCUGGCCAGAGUGUGAGCAGGAGACAGACAGCUUUCAGAAGGCUGAGUCUCGCCAUUAGAUGUCAAACCUACAGAUCACCCAACACUCUGAUCGCCGAACAUCUGAUUUAGUAUCGUCUUGCAUACUUGGAAUUUGUGCCCAUCCAAAUGCACACACACAGUGGCCUUUUCGGCGGUUAAAGCUACAGUAGAUGUGCUGUGCGCAGCUCAGACUGCCAUCCAUCACCAGUGAAAUUCUUUGACGGCUGAACCUCUGACCUCCCAUUCCCAGCAUCCUCCUUUUGCUGCUACAGGAGCACUUUUAAAGUCACAUCGUGGCCAGACCGAUUUCAUCAGGCUUUGUGUGUACCUGGACAGAGAUUUGUGUAUAAAAGAUUAAUGGCAUAGUUCCCUGAAAAUGGCAAAAUAAUUUAAAAAUUGUUAGUAAUCAAUUUUAUAAUAUGGAUUUGCAUGCAAAUCAGAGAAUAAAUAUUGGAAAAUGUUAAGGGAGAAGGAGGAGAGACAUCAUUUAUUAAUGUCAUUAUAAAGUACAAAAUACAGCCUGAACAUUUUAAAUAUCUUUCAAAAAAUAAAAA